GACGAACGCUGGCGGCGUGCUUAACACAUGCAAGUCGAGCGGUAAGGCCCUUUCGGGGGUACACGAGCGGCGAACGGGUGAGUAACACGUGGGUGACCUGCCCUCAGCUCUGGGAUAAGCCUGGGAAACCGGGUCUAAUACCGGAUAUGACUCCAUGACGCAUGUUGUGGGGUGGAAAGCCUUGUGCGGCUGAGGAUGGGCCCGCGGCCUAUCAGCUUGUUGGUGGGGUGANGGCCUACCAAGGCGACGACGGGUAGCCGGCCUGAGAGGGCGACCGGCCACACUGGGACUGAGACACGGCCCAGACUCCUACGGGUGGCAGCAGUCGAGAAUUUUUCUCAAUGGGCGCAAGCCUGAAGGAGCGACGCCGCGUGGAGGAUGAAGGUCUUCGGAUUGUAAACCCCUGUCGAGAGGGAAGAAAGGUCGAAACGCGAAUACCGUUUUGGCUUGACGGUACCUUUAGAGGAAGUUCCGGCUAACUUCGUGCCA
rnacentral:rRNA from 1 species